rnacentral:rRNA from 1 species
GAGGGGCCCGCGCCCGAUUAGCUUGUUGGUAGGGUAACGGCCUACCAAGGCUUUGAUCGGUAGCCGGUCUGAGAGGAUGGCCGGCCACACUGGAACUGAGACACGGUCCAGACUCCUACGGGAGGCAGCAGUGGGGAAUCUUGCGCAAUGGGCGAAAGCCUGACGCAGCGACGCCGCGUGGGGGAUGAAGCUUCUCGGAGUGUAAACCCCUUUCGACCCGGACGAAUGGCCCGCAAGGGACGUGACGGUACGGGUAGAAGAAGCCCCGGCUAACUACGUGCCAGCAGCCGCGGUAAGACGUAGGGGGCCAGCGUUGCUCGGAAUUACUGGGCGUAAGGGUCCGUAGGCGGUGCGGCAAGUCGGGGGUGAAAUCUCUGGGCUUAACUCAGAGGCUGCCUCCGAAACUGCCGUGCUCGAGUGCGGGAGAGGCGAGCGGAAUUGCAGGUGUAGCGGUGAAAUGCGUAGAUAUCUGCAGG